UUUAUGGAGAGUUUGAUCCUGGCUCAGGAUGAACGCUGGCGGCGUGCCUAAUACAUGCAAGUCGAGCGAACGGACGAGAAGCUUGCUUCUCUGAUGUUAGCGGCGGACGGGUGAGUAACACGUGGAUAACCUACCUAUAAGACUGGGAUAACUUCGGGAAACCGGAGCUAAUACCGGAUAAUAUUUUGAACCGCAUGGUUCAAAAGUGAAAGACGGUCUUGCUGUCACUUAUAGAUGGAUCCGCGCUGCAUUAGCUAGUUGGUAAGGUAACGGCUUACCAAGGCAACGAUGCAUAGCCGACCUGAGAGGGUGAUCGGCCACACUGGAACUGAGACACGGUCCAGACUCCUACGGGAGGCAGCAGUAGGGAAUCUUCCGCAAUGGGCGAAAGCCUGACGGAGCAACGCCGCGUGAGUGAUGAAGGUCUUCGGAUCGUAAAACUCUGUUAUUAGGGAAGAACAUAUGUGUAAGUAACUGUGCACAUCUUGACGGUACCUAAUCAGAAAGCCACGGCUAACUACGUGCCAGCAGCCGCGGUAAUACGUAGGUGGCAAGCGUUAUCCGGAAUUAUUGGGCGUAAAGCGCGCGUAGGCGGUUUUUUAAGUCUGAUGUGAAAGCCCACGGCUCAACCGUGGAGGGUCAUUGGAAACUGGAAAACUUGAGUGCAGAAGAGGAAAGUGGAAUUCCAUGUGUAGCGGUGAAAUGCGCAGAGAUAUGGAGGAACACCAGUGGCGAAGGCGACUUUCUGGUCUGUAACUGACGCUGAUGUGCGAAAGCGUGG
rnacentral:rRNA from 1 species